GGGGGCGUACUGGUUUCGACUUUGCAGAUACGCCAGAGGCGGCAUGCCGAGGAUGGUUCGUUGGCCUCGUUAAUCAUCGGACCAAAACAUAACUGCUAAUGCUGAAUUAGCUCUCGCGGCCUAAUAAUCCGCGACGUUCGCCGCUGGACACCUGCUACGGUGGACGAACGCCACAGCAGGUUAGGUCAGGCGCGGAGUCCGCGCGCGCUUGGCUGAAGCUUUAUCCUGCGGGCUAGGCUGCGCGGGUCGGUGUCAGGCCGUUAUCGCGCGGCAGAAAACUCUCUCCUGACUAAGCAUGUAGUCGCGCCUGGUAGAUCGGCUAAGGACGCGGGUUCAACUCCCGCCGCCUCCAUUU
rnacentral:tmRNA from 1 species